AGAAAGACAAACUUUAGGUUUCUGUGUGCAACGUUUGACUGUCCGUUUUAUAUGAAUUUUUUUAUAAUCAGUAUUUUUAUUAUUGUUUUACGAUAAAACAUGAUUAAUAUUUUAUAAGUGAUUUGUCUUUUUAAUUUUUUUAUAAUUUUUUUAAAUAAAACGGACAGUCAAACGUUGGAUAUGGAAACAAGCGAUUUUUUUUAAG
rfam:Oryza nivara chromosome 8, whole genome shotgun sequence.